rnacentral:rRNA from 1 species
GUACACGCUGUGACUAGCAUAUCAAUAAGCGGAGGAAAAGAAACUAACAAGGAUUCCCCUAGUAACGGCGAGUGAAGCGGGAAGAGCUCAAAUUUGAAAUCUUAAAGGGUUUCCCUUUACGAAUUGUAGUUUAAAGAAGUGUUUUCUGUUGAGGUUUUGGUAAAAGUUCUUUGGAAUAGGACAUCAUAGAGGGUGAGAAUCCCGUAUUUGACCUUUACUUUCAACUUUGUGAUACACUUUCAAAGAGUCGGAUUGUUUGGGAAUGCAGUCCAAAAUGGGUGGUAAAUUUCAUCUAAAGCUAAAUAUUGGCGAGAGACCGAUAGCGAACAAGUACCGUGAGGGAAAGAUGAAAAGAACUUUGAAAAGAGAGUUAAACAGUACGUGAAAUUGUCAAAAGGGAAGCGUUUGACACCAGUGUUGUUUUUCUGAAAAUCAAUUAAAGAACUGUUUAUGCUAAGCUGUUUAGACUUUAUCAGCUAUCUGUUUAGUUUUAGGCUUUUCUUUAAUGCACUUUUCAGUUAACAAGUCAACAUCAAUUUCUUUUGCUGUAAAAAAGCUUGAGGAAGGUGGCUUGAGAUUCGUCUUAAGUGUUUAUAGCCUCUUGCCUAUGCAGUCGGAGAGAUUGAGGUCUGCAGCGUAGAUCCUUCGGGGCUAAAUGCAUUUGUGCUAAGUUAUAGCAUUUUAUAGACAACUUGUUGACUAUGAUUUGUCUUGUAGCUUACUCGCUUAUGUUAUUUUACCUACGCUUAGGAUGUUGAGUCGUAGAGCACGCAG